AGAAAGGAAAAGUGUUACACUGCAGAAGAGGUUUUGUCUUUGCUUCAACAGGAGAAGAAAAGCUAUGCAUUCCUUCAAAAUGAAUAAAAAUCAGAUUUGGCCAGGGGGAGACCCCCUGAAGAUCCUGACUACAGACAUGAAAGAAAUCAAGAAUACCAACAAAACAGGAGUUGCCCUGGUCCCAGUGUCUCUUCACAACAGUGAACAGUGUCUAAACAGGUUUCAAAUUUUGAUUGGUUGGUUGAAGCAUCUAUCAAAAGAUGGCCUACUGAAAGAGUUGGAGAUGCCUGAUACCCCUUGGCUUAGUGCUGAUGAAGGAAUUUUAAGGCUCAGGGAAUUGCAGUGCUGGAAUAGAAACCCUGACUAAGACAAAACCUAAUCCUCCACAAUGGGAAGGCUCAGAAGACACACCCUUCACAAAUCCUAUAAGACACAAACUGGUGAGAGGGGCACCAACACAUUUGAAGAGCUUUGCCCUUUUCCUUGUACCAGACCUAAGGGCUGGAGAUGCCACUGCUCAGUGGAUGAAUUAAAUGCAGUGGGUUUAAGUGGGGCCCAGAGUAGCAGGGCCAGGUGGCAGCACUGAGUUAACUAAGGCAAGGUGAUCAUAGUUAUUCCAAUGAGCAGCACGACAAAGCAAUGAUCGUAAUAGCCUGCCAUAACAGCCAGCACAGGCAAAGUGAAUUUUAUUGUGGCAUGACUGGUAUGGACUUAGGUACUGACUAACCAACCGUGGUGUUUCCAGGCAUGAAACAGAUAGGAAGCCUACUAUGUUCUCCUCUGACUUAUAUAAGCAGAAAAUUUCUCAAACAAAUAAAAAGCUACAUUAAAUCAUGAUC
rnacentral:lncRNA from 1 species